GUGGCAAGAGCGAGAAGGACUGUAACUUAGAUAUGUAGUUUUUGAGAGAAAGAGCUCGAGAGCUCGAGAGAGGGAGAGCGAGGUCUAUGGAUUUUAAUCCGUCAGUCGAUAAAGUGUAAGCCCCUAUCACUUUUGAGAGUGUUGUUCGCCAUUGAUCUAUGGCUAUUGAAAUGAAAACGUGGCGGCCUGGAGAAAGGAGGAGCCCUCUCAUUGUCCCCGAGUGAAAGCUCCUAUUUAUAGGCGAGGAGAGACGAUGGCAGCUGUCUCAGCGUGAUGGUGUUUUUUCCACAAUGGAGUUUUACGGCGUGCCAGCAUGGCGUCUUGUCCGCCCGAGAGAAACGCAACGCACAGAUUUCACUUGCUGGUGGAUAAAGAGGGGGGUUCAUUCCCUCUGCUUCUGAAACGUGGACUUGGAGCAACCUCUACAUUCCGGAAGGCAAAAUGCAUGUGGAAAUUACUAGGAGCCGGGUGGAGGCCCCAUCAAGUGUGACUGAGCGCCAUCAUCAGUAAGCAACGUUAUACAGGCCGCCGUUAUGACACCAUCAAAAGAACCUUCCCUUGAACUACGACCGCCAGCCCUCGGCAGGAGGUGCACGCUGGGCCGGCUUUGAAAAAUAACACCUUCGUGAUCUCCGCAGCUUGAGGACGGAUUGUGGUCUGCAGAUGGCCGUGGAACACUCGC